UACGUAGGGGGCAAGCGUUGUCCGGAUUCAUUGGGCGUAAAGAGCUCGUAGGCGGCUUGGCAAGUCGGGUGUGAAACCUCCAGGCUCAACCUGGAGACGCCACCCGAUACUGCCAUGGCUAGAGUCCGGUAGGGGACCACGGAAUUCCUGGUGUGAGCGGUGGAAAUGCGCAGACUAUCAGGAGGAACACCGGUGGCGAAGGCGGUGGUCUGGGCCGGCACUGACGCUGAGGAGCGAAAGCGUGGGGAGCAAACAGG
rnacentral:rRNA from 1 species